UCUCCGUUGGUGAACCAGCGGAGGGAUCAUUACCGAGUUUACAACUCCCAAACCCCUGUGAACAUACCUAUACGUUGCCUCGGCGGAUCAGCCCGCGCCCCGUAAAAAGGGACGGCCCGCCCGAGGACCCCUAAACUCUGUUUUUAGUGGAACUUCUGAGUAAAACAAACAAAUAAAUCAAAACUUUCAACAACGGAUCUCUUGGUUCUGGCAUCGAUGAAGAACGCAGCAAAAUGCGAUAAGUAAUGUGAAUUGCAGAAUUCAGUGAAUCAUCGAAUCUUUGAACGCACAUUGCGCCCGCCAGUAUUCUGGCGGGCAUGCCUGUUCGAGCGUCAUUUCAACCCUCAAGCUCAGCUUGGUGUUGGGACUCGCGGUAACCCGCGUUCCCCAAAUCGAUUGGCGGUCACGUCGAGCUUCCAUAGCGUAGUAAUCAUACACCUCGUUACUGGUAAUCGUCGCGGCCACGCCGUAAAACCCCAACUUCUGAAUGUUGACCUCGGAUCAGGUAGGAAUACCCGCUGAACUUAA
rnacentral:rRNA from 2 species